CUCGUGUUUAGUUGCCACUAGGAGUUUGGACCCCUGAACAGACCGCCGGUGUUAAGCCGGAGGAAGGAGAGGAUGAGGCCAAGUCAUCAUGCCC
rnacentral:ncRNA from 1 species